rnacentral:lncRNA from 1 species
AACUUAUUUACCUAAUACAUCAACAAUAAUUGUCUUCUUUCUUUCUCCCCCUGCAUUUUUGGCAAGAAGAGAAUAGACGCCUUGAUGGCUCCUCUGGCAGUUCUUGAUGACCAUGGAUGAGCUGAUGGCCGUUUCCUCAAUGGUGGCUUCUUGAGGUUAUUUACAGCUGUGAUGGUGUAUAAGCCAGUGUCACUCCUGCGAGACUGUGGAAUAACUAAAGUGCAGAUACUUAUUUUUCUCAAGUGGAGGAAAAGAAAUUUGAUUGUGAAGAGAAACGCACUGCGGCAGUUGCCAAGCAAAUGA